AUGGCUUCAUCCGGUUCUAGGACGAGGUCGGCGUGCGCGGACCAAGAGGACAUGCCAAAGACGUGGAUGGAGGCCAGCUUGGACAAGGAGAAGGAGAAGGAUGUGCCCACACCACCAUGUUGGUGUGGUGAUGUUUGCAAGCUGAAGGUGUCCAUGGACCUCAAGAAGUCAUGGACAGAAGGUAGAAGGUUUUUCGUGUGUCCCAACUAUGCACAUGAUCGUCGAAGGCCAACUAACGCAUAUGACAUACCACUGGUAUGUUAG
rnacentral:rRNA from 1 species